CGGGUGCGCGGCGGCGGCGGGGUGGCUGGGCCGGCGGCGGCGGCGGUACGAGGCGCGCGCUCGGGGUCCCGGUCGCGAGGAGGAGGAGGAUGUGGCGCGCGGAGGGGAAAUGGCUGCCGAAAACAAGCCGGAAGAGCGUUUCCCAAAGUGUAUUCUGCGGAACUAGCACCUACUGUGUUCUCAACACCGUGCCACCUAUAGAAGAUGAUCAUGGGAACAGCAAUAGUAGUCAUGUAAAAAUCUUUUUACCGAAAAAGCUGCUUGAAUGUCUGCCGAAAUGUUCAAGUUUACCCAAAGAGAGGCACCGCUGGAACACUAAUGAGAGAUCAUGAUGCAGCCGCCCUUUUGGAUUUCUUUUUAAUAAUGUGUGACCCUUCACCUUUGAUCCCCUGACCUGCAUUACCUUGGGUUGUUGGGAUGAUAAAUGAACUCAGAAGAAAGGUGCUUUUGAAACUGAACCUCAUCCUAUGGCUGUGCCAAGAGGCAGUGGUAGUGAACCCCGUGGUGAAGGGCCAGGACCAUGGCUGUGGAGCCAGGCUGCUGAGGUUCGAAUCCCACCUUGGCCUCUUGCAAGUGUUCUGACUGCAGCACAUUACGUAGCCGCCCUAUUCCUGAGUUUACUGCCUCUUUAAUGGGGUGACAGUGAUAGCGCCCACUCACAGGAUCAUGGUUCAUUUGUUUACCUAUUUUGGACUUUGGAGACGAAAGAAGAGUAAAGAGGCAAAGUCACUGUUUGCCUGGUUAGCCGGGCUCGCCCUUUCCUCUCCCUUGCUGAGAACCACAGAUCAGAAAUCCUGGAAGUUUAUAAAGAAAGGAAAAAGCAGAUGUGGCCCCAGUGUGAGAGCCUGUGCCCUGUGUUGUCACAGCCUCUUUCAUGCAGCAAGUGGGCUGUCUGGAGUUGCUGCUGGGCCUUCCUCUUCCUCUUUGCCUAGAGCCCAGCCUGGCACGUGAUGGUCUUAAGAUUUUGGUGGCAGAAAGCAAAUGUGCAGAGAGCACUGGUAACAAGUCAGAAGCUGCUGACUGACCCCAGAGAUGUCACAGUGUAUGCACAUGGGGUUUAUGUGGAAAUCUUCAAUUUAUCCCAAUAGCUCAAGUUGCUAAUUUAGUUGAAUAACACCUGGGAAAAUAGGUCAUUGAGGCCUUUGACCUGCAGAAGGCCAUGAAUCCUCCUCAUACUCAGGCCCACGGUGCACUGAGCACAGCCGGUGCUGUGGGCCUUGGACUCCCCUCAAGCCCUGUAUGACACAGUCCUGCAUAUACUCUGCUGACGUGAGGGCUGAGAGGCAGCCAUGUGCCUUUCACUAGUGUGUCUCCUGACCUGCUGCUCAGUGCUGCCCACUGUAGCUCCUGAGUGAGGGAGGCAGAGGUCUCUGGGGCAUCUCUUCUGCACUUGGGGUAGAGUCAAGAUCACAGUGGAAGUCACUGGCAGCUUGUUAGGACCUUACAUUGAUUGGGAAGUGUCCCUGACUUAAGCCUUCAGCAUCCCUUUGAAAUACUGUAUUUUUCUAACCUGGGAAACUGGCCUGUGGUGCUGAGUUGGAGUGCUGGGAGUUAGUCCUAUCAGCUCUAUGCACAACAGACACUCCAGCAAGACAGCCUCUCAAAGUAUUGUCUGCUCCAUCAGUGUGCACUUAGACACGUUAAUCUGAAUUAGAGAGCUCAUUGUACCUAAUGGCUCUCCUGGGACGCCAUGUCAGAAAAAAACACAAACCCUAGGAGUGUGCUGAGCAUGCAGAGUAAGGAAAAAAAUCUUGUGAAAUUAGUGUUAAUUGGACCUUGAUAUCUUUGAACUUUUAAUUUUUAAUUUGUUUUUUUUUUUAAGUUUUGUGGUCUCUCAGAGAUAUAGUUUAAUAAAAGUUAUACUGUAACAUUGUCAAAAAGACAUUUAUAUAAGGCCCAGUUUUGAAUGAUCUUAGGGAAAUAGGUCACAUGUGGGGUAGAGACACAUGUGCACAUACACACUCAUGUGUGUUUAGAAUACGCUUUAGUUGGAUUUAUUCCCGUGUUCUCUUCUUUCUCUGCCUCUGGAAGUGGGGCACAUUUUCUUCAGUUAAAACAGAAAUAGAAGCAACGGUCUUGACCCAUUUCACACCUGUUUAUUUCAGGCUCUCACCACACACUUGUUCAUGGGCUCAGCAAGAAGAGGGACCCACAGAGCUGGAGCCCCGAGGGCUGGCAUGUGGGGAGGAAGCCGUCAGAGCGCAUAGGGAGAGCUUCCCGUCCUGCCAGCUCCAUAUUCUCUCCAGGACAGUUCUAUCAGUGAUUUAAUUGUACUUUAAACCCUAUGUUUUAUGAACUGAAUGUUACUAAAAACGAAAUAGAUGAAAGCGACCUUUCUUCAUCCAGAGUAACUGUGAAAGUGUACAGCGGGCACUUACCUUGGGGAAGGGCCUGCAGCACGUGUGCCCUGUGUCCCUGUCACCCCCGGCAAACUUCCCUUUUCAUAUUAACACAGCAGUGACCUGUCUAUAUGCUGAUUACUGCCUCCCAGAAGAAUGGAAGCUCCCCAAGAGCAGGCUGUGGCUGUCCCCGUCUCUACACAGGGCAGCUCCUGUUACAUCAAUAAAUGCUGUUCAGUGGA